UAAGUUGCAGGGUAUAGACCCGAAACCCGGUGAUCUAGCCAUGGGCAGGUUGAAGGUUGGGUAACACUAACUGGAGGACCGAACCGACUAAUGUUGAAAAAUUAGCGGAUGACCUGUGGCUGGGGGUGAAAGGCCAAUCAAACCGGGAGAUAGCUGGUUCUCCCCGAAAGCUAUUUAGGUAGCGCCUCGUGAAUUCAUCUCCGGGGGUAGAGCACUGUUUCGGCUAGGGGGCCAUCCCGGCUUACCAACCCGAUGCAAACUGCGAAUACCGGAGAAUGUUAUCACGGGAGACACACGGCGGGUGCUAACGUCCGUCGUGAAGAGGGAAACAACCCAGACCGCCAGCUAAGGUCCCAAAGUCAUGGUUAAGUGGGAAACGAUGUGGGAAGGCCCAGACAGCCAGGAUGUUGGCUUAGAAGCAGCCAUCAUUUAAAGAAAGCGUAAUAGCUCACUGGUCGAGUCGGCCUGCGCGGAAGAUGUAACGGGGCUAAACCAUGCACCGAAGCUGCGGCAGCGAACGUAUCACC
rnacentral:rRNA from 1 species